rnacentral:misc_RNA from 1 species
AAGUCGUAACAAGGUUUCCGUAGGUGAACCUGCGGAAGGAUCAUUAACACGUAUCCAAACGUUAAAACCCCCCCCCGUGAACCUUCAUCCUGCUCUUGUAACCCGCGUAGUUCGAGUUGUAGUGAUUCGCUACGUGCGAACAUUGGAACAGUUACAAUCGAGCGGUAGUUCUAUAGGCAAUGUUUCUCCAAGCAGUCAGUGUCGGAAAGUGUCAUUGAUUGUGCAAGGAUAGCGCUUCUACGAUUCCUGUAGACCGUACACUCGGGCAGGAGCUUUGCCAAAGGGUCCCCAUGCCCCCUAAUAACCCCACAGUUUAAUGUGAAGCUCAAUGUAAUACAUUGGGUAAAAAAACCGAACAACUGUUAACAAUGGAUAUCUUGGUUCUC